UAUUUGGGAGAAUAGCAUUUCGCAGAAAAAGUUAAUAUAUUUAAAUAGAUUAAGUAGCCUUCGACAUACAGUUCGAUAACUUUAUACCUUUUUCCUGCAACAUUAUAACUUAAAGCUUUCAACAGUCUCGUUCAAUAAACUAAAAGGCACGGUUUCAACGCAUGCGCAAUUGCACAUUUUACAGCCCCGUAAUCUAGUAGGUUAGCCAGAUGUCUCUCAAGAUAUAUUGAAAUAAGUUAUUUUAGUCGUUUUCUGUUAUUAUUUGGUUGGGAUUUCGAUAUUGGCUGUCGCUGAGACGAGUCAUUUAUAUAUGUACGUCAUGGAUUUCUCGUCCUGCAUGAUGAUGUCGCGGAACAGAAUGCUAGAACUUGCUAAAACAGUUUUCAGGCUAUUUAUGUGGCUAACGAGCUACUGUAGCUCACAAAAAUGUAUAUUUUGUACACGAUUAUCGCUUCAUUAGUUUGCUUUUUGUUUUUGAAAUGAAUGAUAAGAGGAUGUAUUGCACGGACUUGAAAAGACUGGAUGGCAAAACAGCUCUCAUCACUGGUGGCAGUGCUGGCACCGGCAAAGAGACUGCUGUUGCCUUGGCGAUGCGAGGUGCCCAACAUAGCGUGCCAUGACGUGGACAAGGCUGAGAAGGCAGUGAGUGAGAUCAAGAUGAGGGGUCACAACAUUAAUGUCCUUCACGUGGAGCUGGACCUGGACAACAUGCGCUCCAUGAGGGAGUUCUGUUAGACCUUCCUACAGACGGAGAAGAGACUGGACACACUCAUCAAUAACGCAGACGGGCGUCUCAGACCAUGGUUUACUGCGCCGUGUCGGACGAGGCCGCCAAGCACAGCGGGGGAUACUUCACUGACUGCCGGCCCGCCACGCUGAGGCCGUUCGCCAGGGACGCCGCCGUGGCCAAGAAACUGCAGGAGGCCAGCAAGAGGCUGGUCAAACUGGCCGGAGAAACUGGAAUGAUUAAAUUAAACUGAAGCUUUGCAAGCAAACAAUGUGUGGGAAUCUCAUAUUUUGGUCAAACAAGCCCAAAAAAUGUUUUGUUUUUGUUUUGUUCUUAAUAAUUAAUCGUUUUUUAAUAACUAUUUGUCUGCGGGGGACUUUAUAGUGAAUUAUGUCAGGGGUUUUUUAUGGAUGGAGAAUGGAUUGAUGAACAUUUUAUGAUUUGCCCUUGGAUUGCUGACCUCAAACACUUGAAUGAUGACAUGUAAAACAUGGCUGCUUUUUCUUCUGUUGUAAAUAUCCUCUGAAAUUAAAAUCUGUGGCAAUACA